rnacentral:lncRNA from 1 species
UUGUUUUAGGUGCGCAAAUUUGCAUACGAAUUGGCCAGCAGAUAUGGCUGCAAAUAUCCAGAUGUAUGGGAUGCCACCAAGAUGGCUGGAAAGGACUGGCUCACCUCCUUCCUUAAACGCAACAAUACAUUGUCUAUUCGCCGACCUCAAGCCACCAGCAUGUCCCGUUCCACCAGCUUCAAUAAAACAAAUGUGACUGCUUUUUAUAACAACCUGCUGACAGUUCUUGCCCGCUACCUUUUUGAAGCAAAGGACAUUUGGAACGUGGAUGAAACAGGUACCACGACAGUCCAAGUGCCAGAUAAAAUAAUUGCCACCAAGGGGAAGCGCCAGGUCGGUGCAGUGACCUCUGGGGAGAGGGGGACAUUGGUCACCACUGCCCUUGCAGUAAAUGCACAAGGCAAUUGCAUUCCCCCGUACUUCAUCUUUCCCAGGAAGAAGUUCCAGGACCACUUUGUGAGAAAUGGUCCCAUUGGCUCUGCUGGUUCUGCAAAUAGCUCAGGCUGGAUGCAGGAUACAGACUUUCUGGCCUUUCUCCAGCACUUUGCCAGACACACCCGUGUGACCCUGGAGUCGAAGGUGCUUCUCCUCCUCGACAAUCAUUGGUCACACCUUUCUGUGGCAGCAAUUGACUUUUGUCGGUCAAACGGCAUAGUCCUACUAUCGUUCCCACCCCACUGCUCACAUCGUCUCCAGCCACUUGACAGGAGCGUCUUCGGUCCACUGAAGCGAUAUAUAAACACGGCAGCAGAUCACUGGAUGAGAACACACCCUGGAAAAACUUUGACCAUCUAUGAUGUUCCAAGCCUAGUGGCCACAGCUCUACCACGAGCAGCGACACCCAGAAACAUAACGUCUGGCUUUGUGUGCACUGGCAUCUGCCCCUUUAACCCAGAUAUUUUUGAGGAGCAAGACUUUUCACCUGCCUAUGUCACCGACCGCCCGUUUCCUUCACUGGUACCAUGUGGUCCCACACCACAUUCCAACAAACACCCACUUAGCCAGAGCCUGUUUGAGGGAGGGCUGCUGCCAGAGUAUCCUGGUGGUUCAACCAGGGACGCCUGUUUAGAGUCUACCAUCCCAUACCACCCAGCUGUCUGUUCAGGCAAGAUAAAAUAA